GAUGAACGCUAGCGGCAGGCUUAAUACAUGCAAGUCGAGGGGCAGCAUGAUUGUAGCAAUACAAUUGAUGGCGACUGGCAAACGGGUGCGGAACACGUACACAACCUUCCAAUAAGUGGGGAAUAGCCCAGAGAAAUUUGGAUUAAUACCCCGUAACAUAACGAUGUGGCAUCACAUUGUUAUUAUAGAUUUUUCGCUUAUUGAUGGGUGUGCGGCUGAUUAGAUAGUUGGCGGGGUAACGGCCCACCAAGUCUACGAUCAGUAGCUGAUGUGAGAGCAUGAUCAGCCGCACGGGCACUGAGACACGGGCCCGACUCCUACGGGAGGCAGCAGUAAGGAAUAUUGGACAAUGGACGCAAGUCUGAUCCAGCCAUGCCGCGUGAAGGAUUAAGGUCCUCUGGAUUGUAAACUUCUUUUAUAAGGGACGAAAAAAGGCUUUUCUAAGUCGUCUGACGGUACCUUAUGAAUAAGCACCGGCUAACUCCGUGCCAGCAGCCGCGGUAACAC
rnacentral:rRNA from 1 species